rnacentral:rRNA from 1 species
GAUAAACACUUGCGGUGUGCCUUAUGCAUGCAAGUCGAACGGUCUUGAUUUAUCAAGAUAGUGGCGAACGGGUGAGUAACGCGUAAGUAACCUGCCCUCAAGUAGGGGAUAACUCUGAGAAAUUAGAGCUAAUACCGUAGUGGUGGUAGGGGUAAUGCCCUAUUACUAAAGCCUUAGGGUGCUUGGGGAGGGGCUUGCGUCCGAUUAGCUAGUUGGUAGGGUAACGGCUUACCAAGGCGAUGAUCGGUAGCUGGUUUGAGAGGACGGCCAGCCACACUGGGACUGAGACACGGCCCAGACUCCUACGGGAGGCAGCAGCAAGGAAUAUUGUGCAAUGGGCGAAAGCCUGACACAGCGACACCGCGUGGGGGAUGAAGGCCUUCGGGUUGUAAACCCCUUUUCUCAGGGAAGAAUAAUGACGGUACCUGAGGAAUAAGUCUCGGCUAACUACGUGCCAGCAGCCGCGGUAAGACGUAGGAGGCGAGUGUUAUCCGGAUUUACUGGGCGUAAAGAGGGCGUAGGCGGCUUUUCAAGUCGGAUGUAAAAUCUCCUGGCUUAACUAGGAGGGGUCAUUCGAUACUGUUAGGCUAGAGGGCAGCAGAGGGAGGUGGAAUUCCCGGUGUAGUGGUGAAAUGCGUAGAUAUCGGGAGGAACACCAGUGGCUAAAGCGGCCUCCAAGGCUGUUUCUGACGCUGAGGCCCGAAGGCGUGGGGAGCGAACAGGAUUAGAUACUCUGGUAGUCCACGCUGUAAACGAUGGAUACUAGGUAUGGGGGGUAUUGACCCCCUCCGUGCCGAAGCUAACGCGUUAAGUAUCCCGCCUGGGGACACGGCCGCAAGGCU